UGGGGAAUAUUGGACAAUGGGCGGAAGCCUGAUCCAGCAACGCCGCGUGAGGGAUGACGGCCUUCGGGUUGUAAACCUCUUUCAGUACCGACGAAGCGGAAGUGACGGUAGGUACAGAAGAAGCACCGGCCAACUACGUGCCAGCAGCCGCGGUAAUACGUAGGGUGCGAGCGUUGUCCGGAAUUAUUGGGCGUAAAGGGCUCGUAGGCGGUUUGUCGCGUCGGGAGUGAAAACACUGGGCUUAACUCAGUGCUUGCUUCCGAUACGGGCAGACUAGAGGCAUGCAGGGGAGAACGGAAUUCCUGGUGUAGCGGUGAAAUGCGCAGAUAUCAGGAGGAACACCGGUGGCGAAGGCGGUUCUCUGGGCAUGUCCUGACGCUGAGGAGCGAAAGUGUGGGGAGCGAACAGGAUUAGAUACCCUGGUAGUCCACACCGUAAACGUUGGGCGCUAGGUGUGGGGCCUAUUCCAUGGGUUCCGUGCCGCAGCUAACGCAUUAAGCGCCCCGCCUGGGGAGUACGGCCGCAAGCU
rnacentral:rRNA from 1 species